AUGCCUGAAAUUUAUAAAUGAUAACCCGUUUAUAGUUUAACAUGCAAAAAUAUAUAGCGUUUUAAGCCUUAUCUAGAACAGCCAAAUUGGUUUUUCUCGGUAUAUACCAACUUAGUAUUUGGUAAAAAAAUUUGUUACUUAAUAUAGCGUUGCAUUUAAUACUUAAUUGCGAUAAACAUAUAAAACAAUCCGGUUAUCUAAGGAAUUUAACUAAAAUGUUUUUUCUGAUAAAAAGAGUUUCAAUUCGUGGUAAAUCAUACUGUCCAUUAAUUAUCUACCCUACCCUACAUACAUACCUUAAAAAAUUCUACGAUUGUUGUAUUAGUUAGUUUACAUAGCAAUCAAAUUAUUUGUAAAUAUUAUUACUUUGAUAACACUCGUUUAAGUGUUUAAUUGUGAGCAAACAGAGGCCAAUACGAUAAAAGUGUACUUUAAGAAUUUUAUUCAUUUGCACUACAGAUUUUAUGACGGAAGUUUACGAACACACCAAGGACGAUAUAGUUUAUCGAAGAAUAUAUUAAAACGCGGCUUAUCGCAAGAUUAUUUAUUUUACGUGAAAUAUUAUUUAAAUUUAAAUAACGCCAAGUUAACGUUUUAAAUCAUGAAAAUUGCAUUUUAUGUAUGAUCCUCGCAUUACAAUAAUACAAUGGAAAAAAACGAAAGUAAAAAUUCUUUACAAAAUUAAAAUUUCUUCAUUAUAUAGUAUAGUGUGACUGUGAAGAUCAUUUAAGGCACAGCACACACCACAGCAAGGUCCCUACAAACAAAUUGUUUGUCAUUCGUUUAAGGCACCCUGCCCCAUACAAGCAUAUGAUGCAUGAUGUGAUUCUUACCAUUAUAUACCAAAUUGAAAUAAUCGCUUUGACGGGCAUUGUAGACCACAUUGUCCAUAUUAGAAUUCCAUUUAUAAGAUUCGGUAACCAGCAAACGUAAAAGA